CGAAAGCCUGACGGAGCAACGCCGCGUGUGGGAAGAAGGUUCUUGGAUUGUAAACCCCUUUUCUCAGGGAAGAAGUUCUGACGGUACCUGAGGAAUCAGCCUCGGCUAACUCCGUGCCAGCAGCCGCGGUAAUACGGAGGAGGCAAGCGUUAUUCGGAAUUAUUGGGCGUAAAGCGUCCGCAGGGGGCGCAUCAAGUCUGCUGUUAAAGGCUGGAGCUCAACUCCGGUAGAGCAGUGGAAACUGGUGCGCUAGAGGGCGACAGGGGUAGAGGGAAUUCCCAGUGUAGCGGUGAAAUGCGUAGAGAUUGGGAAGAACACCGGUGGCGAAAGCGCUCUACUGGACCAUCACUGACACUCAGAGGACGAAAGCUAGGGGAGCG
rnacentral:rRNA from 1 species